rnacentral:rRNA from 1 species
CGCUUCCAGGAAAAGCCUCUAAGCUUCAGAUCACAUUGGACCGUACCGUAAACCGACACUGGUGGGUGAGCAGAUAAUCUGCCAAGGCGCUUGAGAGAACUCGGGUUAAGGAACUCUGCAAAUUGAUACCGUAACUUCGGAAGAAGGUAUGCCUUCGACGGUGUAGGGAUUUACUCCCGAAGCUGUUGAAGGUCGCAGGUAAUCGGUGGCUGCGACUGUUUAUCAAAAACACAGGACUCUGCGAACACGCAAGUGGAAGUAUAGGGUCUGACGCCUGCCCGGUGCCGGAAGGUUAAUUGAUGGGGUUAGCCGCAAGGCGAAGCUCUUGAUCGAAGCCCCGGUAAACGGCGGCCGUAACAAUAACGGUCCUAAGGUAGCGAAAUUCCUUGUCGGGUAAGUUCCGACCUGCACGAAUGGCGUAACGCUGGCCACACUGUCUCGACCCGAGACUCAGUGAAGUUGAAAUCGCUGUGAAGAUGCGGCGUUCCCGCGGCAAGACGGAAAGACCCCGUGAACCUUCACUACAGCUUUACACUGAACUUUGAACCUUUCUGUGUAGGAUAGGUGGGAGGCUAUGAAACUUGGGCGCUAGCUCGAGUGGAGCCAACCUUGAAAUACCACCCUGGGAUGUUUGAAGUUCUAACCUUGGUCCGUAAUCCGGAUUGGGGACAGUGUAUGGUGGGUAGUUUGACUGGGGCGGUCUCCUCCCAAAGAGUAACGGAGGAGUGCAAUGGUACGCUCAGCGCGGUCGGUCAUCGCGCUCUAGAGUGCAAAGGCAUAAGCGUGCUUAACUGUGAGACAGACACGUCGAACAGGUACGAAAGUAGGUCUUAGUGAUCCGGUGGUUCUGUAUGGAAGGGCCAUCGCUCAACGGAUAAAAGGUACUCCGGGGAUAACAGGCUUAUUCCUCCCAAGAGUCCACAUCGACGGAGGAGUUUGGCACCUCGAUGUCGGCUCAUCACAUCCUGGGGCUGUAGCAGGUCCCAAGGGUAUGGCUGUUCGCCAUUUAAAGUGGUACGCGAGCUGGGUUCAGAACGUCGUGAGACAGUUCGGUCCCUAUCUGCCGUGGGCGUUGGAAACUUGAGGGUGAGCUGUCCUUAGUACGAGAGGACCGGGAUGGACGUAUCUCUGGUGUUCCGGUUGUCACGCCAUUGGCACUGCCGGGUAGCUAUAUACGGACGGGAUAAGCGCUGAAAGCAUCUAAGCGCGAAGCCCCCCCCAAGAUUAGGUUUCCCUGGGAACUCGAUUCCCCUAAAGGGCCGUCGGAGACUACGACGUUGAUAGGCUGGGUGUGUAAGUGCAGCAAUGCAUUGAGCUAACCAGUACUAAUUGCCCGUGAGGCUUGAUC